CGUGUAGGCGGCUUGGUAAGCGGUCUGCGAAAUCCCGGGGCUCAACCCCGGAACUGCAGACCGAACUGCCGAGCUAGAGAACGAGAGGGGACUGUGGAACUCUAGGUGGAGCGGUGAAAUGCGUAGAUAUCUAGAGGAACACCGGUGGCGAAAGCGACAGUCUGGCUCGUUUCUGACGCUGAGGCGCGAAAGCGUGGGUAGCAAACAGGAUUAGAUACCCUGGUAGUCC
rnacentral:rRNA from 1 species